CGCAAGAAAGGGAUCAGGUAAGGGUGAAAGGGUGCGGUAAGAGCGCACCGCGCGACUGGUAACAGUUCGUGGCACGGUAAACUCCACCCGGAGCAAGAUCAAAUAGGCCCCCUUUGGCGUGGCCCGCGUUGGGGGCGGGUAGAUUGCUUGAGGCUUAAGGCGACUUAAGUCCUAGAGGAAUGAUUGUCACUCUGGCAACAGAGCACAGAACCCGGCUUACUGGCUGGCUCACCCC
rnacentral:RNase_P_RNA from 1 species